UCGCCAUAUUCAGUGUGGCUGCGCGUGUUGAAAGCCGCGGCUGCCAAUCACCGGCCAAGGUCUUUCCCGUCUUUGUCAUUUAGUUUCUCCUCCCUCCUUCCCGUGGACCUAAGCCAGAGACGCGGUUGAGCUCGCAGGAAUCCCUUUAGAUGUCUUUUUAUCUGUGAGGCCUAACACCUUAAUUAGUUGUCUGUCUAUCAUCGCUUUGCCUGUCCUCACAGCCCUCCCUGUUCAAGAAACCUUCCUCCCCAAGAAGAAUGUGAAAGACUCUUGGUCACUGGCCUCAACCCUGAGUCAUCAGGAGUGGCAAAGCCUCCCAGACAGAGCAUCCCCAGAUGACGGACAGCUCUUUGUGUCUAUAAUGGCAUGUGUACCCUGGAGGAGAAGGAAUGCAUCCUGAGAACCAGCUUGACCCCUCAAGUAAAAAGGACUUCUUACACUGAGAGAAGGAUCAACCAGCUCACACUAGACAAGGCUGAAGUCUCCUAAAGUUUCUGUGAUGUCAGAGCCUGAACCAGUCAAGCAGUCUUCUGUAACAAGCAAGGCCUCAAGUGGAGGGAUUGGGACACUAACCCAGACACAAAACCUUUGAGCUACAGUGUGUCCUGCCUUCAGAGUGUUCUGGGACUGGAGCUUAGCAAAAUUGUCAUCAGAGAGACCAGAGAGACUUCAUCCAGCAACUAAUAGGAGUAGAUGAAGAGUACCAGAGCCCACCAUUACAGGGAGCUUGCAGAGUCCUACCGAAGAAGGAAAGGAAGG